AUUGAAAACAUCAUUGAGUGCAGCGUUGAUGAAUCGUUGGUGAAUUCACCAGCGCUACACUCAAUUAUGUUUUCA